AUCAUUACCUAAUAUUGGCCCUAGUUGAGCGAUGGCGGCCGGAGACUCAUACUUUCCAUCUUCCACAUGGUGAGAUGUCAAUCACCCUACAAGAUGUGGAGGUAAUUUUCGGACUUCCUAUAGACGGUGACGUCUUGGUUGGGCCGACUGCUGUGGUGGAUGAUGGGGGUUGGAGGCAACUGUGUACGGAGUUGCUUAGUUUUACUCCACCGAAUGACAAUAAAACUUUGGUGGGGCAAAGAAUUCUCAUCAGCCGACUUGUUGAGGCCAUUGCAGCGCCAUUGCCUCAUGACGCAACGGAGAUGCAGAUACACCGGUAUGCCCGAUGCUAUAUUUUAGCGCUAGUAGGGGAUAAACUUUUCAUGGACAAGUCAGGAGAUAGGGUGCAUCUGAUGUUCCUGGACUUCAUGCGUAACCUUCGUGAUCCGCCAUAGUAUAGUUGGGGUAGUGGUUGCCUGGCUUGGUUAUACAGGGAGUUGUGUCGGGCAAGCGAGAAAGGGGCAUUGCAGAUUGGUGGGGCAUGCACCUUGGUCCAGUAUUGGGCAUGGGCAAGGUUGCCAUUCUUGUGCCCGAGGAUAGAGCCCCCACCUGGAUGUGAUUAUGGCCCAUGGCCAUAUGCUCCACUUGCAUUUAAGUGGGUGCGGGUGCCAAGCCCGAAGAGUAGGCCAUCCGGCAUGGCCUUGGUCCACUAUCGCGAGCUAUUAGUUACAAUGCAGCCAGAGCAGAUUGUGUGGCAGCCAUACGAGGCACACUUCGGCCACCUUCCUGAGUUCUGCAUUGCAGGGAGGGAUACGUGGACAGCAAGGGUGCCGCUUGUGUGUUUUUGCAUAGUAGAGAGACACCACCUAGACCGUGUCCUUCGAUAGUUUGGCUUGGCGCAGGAGCGGCCUGAUGAUGUUGUCUACGAUGAUAGGCUGCAUAAAAUCGACUUACGUGGGAAGGUGGAAAAGAAUUGGAGGGAGGAGCAUGGACCGUAUAUCAUUUCAUGGGAAAUGAGACGACAACAACUUUGUCAUGCACCUCCUCAGAUUGGUGAGAUGCCCCGCAAUCAUGCCUAUUACGUCUGGUACCGUUCGGUCACUCGAAAGUAUGUCGACCGCAACAGCGCUAAAUUAGAU